rnacentral:rRNA from 1 species
UGCCAGCAGCCGCGGUAAUACGGAGGGUGCAAGCGUUGUUCGGAUUUAUUGGGCGUAAAGCGCGUGUAGGCGGUUUGUUAAGUCUGAUGUGAAAGCCCUGGGCUCAACCUGGGAAGUGCAUUGGAAACUGGCAGACUUGAAUACGGGAGAGGGUAGUGGAAUUCCUAGUGUAGGAGUGAAAUCCGUAGAUAUUAGGAGGAACACCGGUGGCGAAGGCGGCUACCUGGACCGAUAUUGACGCUGAGACGCGAAAGCGUGGGGAGCAAACAGGAUUAGAUACCCUGGUAGUCCACGCCGUAAACGAUGAGUACUAGGUGUUGCGGGUAUUGACCCCUGCAGUGCCGCAGCUAACGCAUUAAGUACUCCGCCUGGGAAGUACGGUCGCAAGACUAAAACUCAAAGGAAUUGACGG